rnacentral:rRNA from 1 species
UACAGAGGGUGCAAGCGUUAAUCGGAAUUACUGGGCGUAAAGCGUGCGCAGGCGGUUAUGUAAGACAGAUGUGAAAUCCCCGGGCUCAACCUGGGAACUGCAUUUGUGACUGCAUAGCUGGAGUACGGUAGAGGGGGAUGGAAUUCCGCGUGUAGCAGUGAAAUGCGUAGAUAUGCGGAGGAACACCGAUGGCGAAGGCAAUCCCCUGGACCUGUACUGACGCUCAUGCACGAAAGCGUGGGGAGCAAACAGG